rnacentral:ncRNA from 1 species
UCAUGAUAAAGGCACACCUGAUGAAAAUCAGUGUCGCAAAGCUAUAGGGACUAAGGUGCUAUUGUACUAUGUCAGCCAGUUACCAAA